rnacentral:rRNA from 1 species
GUAGGGAAUCUUCCGCAAUGGACGAAAGUCUGACGGAGCGACGCCGCGUGAGUGAUGAAGGUCUUCGGAUCGUAAAACUCUGUUGUGAGGGAAGAACAAGGGUGAACCGAAUACGUUCACCCCUUGACGGUACCUCACCAGAAAGCCCCGGCUAACUACGUGCCAGCAGCCGCGGUAAUACGUAGGGGGCGAGCGUUGUCCGGAAUUAUUGGGCGUAAAGGGCGCGCAGGCGGCCUUCUAAGUCUGAUGUGAAAUCUCGUGGCUCAACCACGAACGGUCAUUGGAAACUGGGAGGCUUGAGUACAGAAGAGGAGAGUGGAAUUCCACGUGUAGCGGUGAAAUGCGCAGAGAUGUGGAGGAACACCAGUGGCGAAGGCGACUCUCUGGUCUGUAACUGACGCUGAGGCGCAAAAGCGUGGGUAGCAAACAGGAUUAGAAACCCUGGUAGUCC